rnacentral:rRNA from 1 species
CUACACGGGUAUCUAAUCCUGUUUGCUCCCCACGCUUUCGCUCCUCAGCGUCAGUACUGGCCCAGGAUCCCGCCUUCGCCACCGGUGUUCCUCCUGAUAUCUGCGCAUUCCACCGCUACACCAGGAAUUCCAGAUCCCCCUACCAGACUCUAGCCGCCCAGUAUCGAAUGCAGGCUCGAGGUUAAGCCUCGAGGUUUCACAUUCGACUUGAGUGGCCGCCUACGAGCUCUUUACGCCCAAUGAAUCCGGACAACGCUCGGUCCCUACGUAUUACCGCGGCUGCUGGCAC